GAUGAACGCUGGCGGCGUGCUUAAUACAUGCAGGUCGAGCGAACAGACGAUGCGCUUGUUCCUCUCACGUUAGCCGCGGACGGGUGAGUAACACGUGUAUAACCCCCUUAUAAUUCUGGGAAAAUCUCGGGAAACCGGCGCAAAUACCGGAUAAUAUCUUGAACCGCAUGGUUCAAUAGUGAAAGACGGCUUUGCUGUCUCUUCUAGCUGGUUCUGCGCCGCAUUAGCUAGUUGGUAAGGUAACGGCUUAUCAAGGCAACGAUGCGUAGCCGACCUGAGGGAGUGAUCGGCGGCACUGGAGCUGGGACGCGGUCCAGGCGCCUACGGGAGGCAGCAGUAGGCAAUGGGCGGCAGUAGGCGGAAACCUGGCGGAGCGACGCCACGUGAGAGAUGGAGGUCUUCGGAUCGUGAUGCUCUGUUAUUAGGGAAAAACAGAUGUGUAAGUAGCUGUACACGGCUUGACGGUACCUAAUCAAGAAGCCACGGCCAACUACGUG
rnacentral:rRNA from 1 species